GACCCAGAACUUUCUCCUGACAUUGGGGACAGGACAGGGACAUCCCCAGAGGGGCCGAGAGCCCCCUGAAAUGAGGGGGGGACACCUCUGAGGUGACAGGGACACCACGAGAGGCUUCUCUGGGCAGUGGGGGUGGAGCAGGGACAUCCCCAGAGGG
rnacentral:lncRNA from 12 species